rnacentral:tRNA from 1 species
GGGGCUAUAGCUCAGCUGGGAGAGCACCUGCUUUGCAAGCAGGGGGUCAGCGGUUCGAACCCGCUUAGCUCCA